GAUGAACGCUGGCGGCGUGCUUAACACAUGCAAGUCGAACGGGAAAUAUUUUAUUGAUACUUCGGUGGAUUUAAUUUAUUUCUAGUGGCGGACGGGUGAGUAACGCGUGGGUAACCUGCCUUAUACCGGGGGAUAACAGCCAGAAAUGGCUGCUAAUACCGCAUAAGCGCACAGAACCGCAUGGUUCCGUGUGAAAAACUCCGGUGGUAUAAGAUGGACCCGCGUUGGAUUAGCUAGUUGGCAGGGCAGCGGCCUACCAAGGCGACGAUCCAUAGCCGGCCUGAGAGGGUGAACGGCCACAUUGGGACUGAGACACGGCCCAGACUCCUACGGGAGGCAGCAGUGGGGAAUAUUGCACAAUGGGGGAAACCCUGAUGCAGCGACGCCGCGUGAAGGAAGAAGUAUCUCGGUAUGUAAACUUCUAUCAGCAGGGA
rnacentral:rRNA from 1 species